GGGAGAGCUGGGCACACACCGGGAGAGGAAGGGGGGGUAGAGCCGGGCACACACCGAGAGGAAGGGGGGAGAGCUGGGCACACACCGGGAGAGGAAGGGGAGAGCUGGGCAACACACCGAGAGGAAGGGGGUAGGAGCUUGGGCAAUGGCCACCGGGAGAGGAAGGGGGAGACAAGCCACACCGAGAGGCGGGGAGCCGGGCACACACACCGGGAGUAGUUGAGAGGAGGGGGGGGAGCUGGGCACACACCGAGCACCGGGGAGGCAGGGGAGAGCUAAGCACACCGGGAGAGGGGGGAGGAGGGGGGAGUCCGUAUAGCCAGCGCCGGCUGACCGAGCAAUGGGAGGAGGGGGGAGAGCUGGGCACACACCGGGAGGGGGAGUCCGGGAGAGCUGGGGCACACACCGGGAGGGGGGGGAGUCCGGGAGAGCUGGGCACACACCGGGAGGGGGGAGUCCGGGAGAGCUGGGCACACACCGGGAGCUGUCACUGACUCUGCCUGACUGAGCUCUGUCUCGGCCGCUUCCUUUCUCCCGGUUCCGGGGUCACCGUGUUACGAGGCGGAGGGCUGUCCUAGUGAGGUGACCCGGCCAGGCGGCGGCAGCAGCAGGAGGAGCAGUGUUUGUGAUCUCUCUCCCUUUCUUGGCUCUUGGCUCCAGCCUCUCUCUCUCUCUCUCCCGUCUCCGCUCCUUUUCCGGUUUCUCUCUCUCUCUCUAUUAUUUUUUUUUUUUGUGCUUCACACUUUCAAUUCAGAGACAAAAUGGCGGCGGCGCCCGGUCAUGUGACUGCGAGCCGCAGAGGCGCCGGUUGUUAAGGUGGUUCCACCUGGUGACUGAGGACAGCACCAGGCAGGGAUAUUCCGGGCUAGGAUGGCUGCUGGCGGAGGGAGAGAGAGAGAGAGAGGGAGGGCGGACGCUGCUCACUGGCUGUGGGGGGCAGUGGGUGUAACAAUUUAUUCAGAGAAAAAUAUUCAUGUCUCAAAAAUCAUCUCAGAUUCAUAAGCCAUUAUUUAAAAUAAUAAUAAUGAUAAUUAGUUAUAAUAAGCACAGAGCACACUCUCUCCACCCUUUACUGAGACAUU
rnacentral:lncRNA from 1 species